UGUAGAUGUUAAACAACAUGGGGGACAAUAUUGAUCCCUGUGGGACCCCACAGGACAAUGGCUGCAGGGUUGAGCAGAUGUCCCCCAACAACACCUUCUGUUGCAAACUUUUCAUUGCAGGGUGAAAUUGGUCCUAAGGGCGAUAAAGGAGAUCCAGGACAACCAGGAAAACCAGGAGAGCCUGGCCUAAGAGGUAAAGAUGGAGAACCAGGAAACAAGGGAGAACCUGGAGAUCAGGGAGAAGGAGGUGUUCCUGGAGAGCAAGGAGAGAGAGGAGCCCGGG